rnacentral:rRNA from 1 species
GACGAACCGAGCAAACGUUAUUCGGAAUCACUGGGCUUAAAGGGCGCGUAGGCGGGCCAUCAAGUCUGUGGUGAAAUCCUCCAGCUUAACUGGAGAACGGCCGCGGAUACUGGUGGUCUCGAGGAAGGUAGGGGCAUCUGGAACUGGUGGUGGAGCGGUGAAAUGCGUUGAUAUCAUCAGGAACUCCGGUGGCGAAGGCGAGAUGCUGGACCUUUUCUGACGCUGAGGCGCGAAAGCCAGGGGAGCGAGCGGG